rnacentral:rRNA from 1 species
UACGUAGGGGCCUAGCGUUGUCCGGAUUUAUUGGGCGUAAAGAGCCCGUAGGCGGUUCGGUAAGUCAGGUGUGAAAUCUCCACGCUCAACGUGGAGGCGCCACCUGAAACUGCCGUGACUCGAGUCCGGUAGGGGAGUGUGGAAUUCCCGGUGUAGCGGUGAAAUGCGUAGAGUAUCGGGAGGAACACCUGUGGCGAAAGCGGCGCACUGGACCACAACUGACGCUGAGGCGCGAAAGCCAGGGGAGCAAACGGG